GGCUUCAUAGCUCAGUUGGUAGAGCAGAGGACUGAAAAUCCUCGUGUCACUGGUUCGAUUCCAGUUGAAGCCACCA
rnacentral:tRNA from 1 species